AACACAACACAAAAACCCAAAACCCCCUCAUAUGCCGUGAGCUCCUAUGUGGUGUUCUAACUUUGCAUUUUUCAUUUUAUGCCUCUACCAUCCUUAUAACUCUUACAACAUAUGGUUAAAAAAGAUUCAAGUAAUCAUAGGCAUCAAAUCAGCACAUAAAGUAAACCAUUUUCAAAAUCAAACCCAUAUUCUUUUCCAAAAGUCAUAAGGCACAUAAACCUUUGAACCUUUGGCUCUUGAUACCACUUGAAGGAUAUAUUGUGUUUUUUUUCUUCUCAAAAACAGGGUUCAGUUACACAUCUAGAUUAUCAAAAAUUCAUUUGAUAGGCAACGGAAGAAUUUAAACCAAAUCAUGGAGCUUAAAAACAAAACCUUUCAAAGGAUCUUAAGGUUCAAAGAGUUUAUGUGCAUUGCAAACCACCAUACUUGAAAUUAAAGAGAGGAAGGUAGAUAGAAACUCAUCCUUGGAGCGCAACUUGAGUCCAACCCAAGUAUUCCACCAAGUGGUGGUGGUAGGAUCCACUUUUUACUUCUCCUCCAAGUCACGAAGUAGGGACCUCCAAAGUCUCCACACCAAGCCUUCUCUUUGAAAUGAAGAUGAUACACAAAAGAAGUAU
rnacentral:lncRNA from 1 species